rnacentral:rRNA from 1 species
AUGGCAUUGCUUCGUGAUCUUUGGAUGCCAAGUAGUCAAUGUUAUAUCACAGGACCGGUUUGGCCAACUAUUGAGGUAGAGAAUUUUGAGCUGAAGCCUGGUCUUAUUGCUUUGGUUCAACAACAACAGUUUGGAGGACUGCCUACUGAGGAUCCCUAUGAGCACUUACACCGAGUCAUGGAGUAUUCAGAUACAGUCAAGUACCAUGGAGUUCCUCAAGAUGCAAUCAUGUGGAGGCUGUUCACAUUCUCCCUCCGCGAUGAUGCUCGUGCUUGGUAUCGAUCCUUGCCAUCAAGGUCAUACAGUUGGAAUGAGAUAUCGCGAGCUUUCUUGGAUAAAUAUUUCCCACUACACAAGCAGUCCGCAAUUCGAGAUGAGAUCUUCAAUUUCGUUCAGCGUGAAGGCGAGAGCUUGUAUGAUGCUUGGGAGAGAUACAAAGCCUUAUCAGGAGAUGUCCUAAUCAUGGGCUCGAGAGAUGGUUAG